rnacentral:sRNA from 1 species
UUUUUUUUUCCUUUUUUG